rnacentral:rRNA from 1 species
UACGGGGGGAGCAAGCGUUGUUCGGAUUUACUGGGCGUAAAGGGCGCGUAGGCGGUCAGCACAAGUCAGUUGUGAAAUCUCCGGGCUUAACUCGGAAAGGUCAACUGAUACUGUGCGACUAGAGUGCAGAAGGGGCAACUGGAAUUCUCGGUGUAGCGGUGAAAUGCGCAGAUAUCAGGAGGAACACCGGUGGCGAAGGCGGCUUGCUGGGCCAGUUCUGACGCUGAGGAGCGAAAGCGUGGGGGAGCGAACAGG